AUAAAAUCGUUCUGGAGUCCCUGGCAUUUGCUCGCCACUGCAUAAUAGCCUAACCUGGUAUCAGGAGGACAGGGACAGAGCAUUUGAGGCCGAGGGAAGAAUGUGUACAAGCCCCUAAAGGUAGAAGAGAAAAAGAUACUUUCAAGAAGCUUAAAUAAACUGAGUGAUUUGGGGAACUAAGUAUUUAUACUAAAGGAGUGGCAGGAGCUGGAGCCGGAGAGGUAAAUGGGGUGUCUUCUGGAGGAUUCCGUAAACAAGGUAAAACGGUUUGGACUUAAGACAACGGGAAGGUUAAAAGAGGCUUUAUGUAGGGAAAUAACCUGAUCAGAUUUGGUUUCUGUAAAGGCUAUUUCUGAGCACGGCGUGGAGAAAAGAGCCGAAGGGGCAGGGGUGUCACGUUAGGAAGCUGUCGUAGUAAUUCCGGGUGACAGAUGGAAGCCUGAAUGGCCACGGGGAUGGGAGAGGUAGGCUAGUUUCGUAACUUUUGAGGAGGCAGAUUCGGAAGAACUUGGUUCUUUGCUAGAAACGGGGGCUGGAAGAGCAGACGGAGUCCCAGCUAAUGUGUCAGCUUUGGAGUUUGGUAACUGAAUGAAUGGCGGACUGACUCACUCUCUGAGCCACAGGACUUUGAAAGAGGAACAGAUUUAAGGGAUGAAGGUGAUUUGAGGUUUGGGGAAACACGGGCGCAAGGAGGAUAUUUGAGAACGAGUUGGUGCUGUUGAGGUUUAAUGGAGAAGGUCCAGCACGUGAGAACUUGUGUGGACUUUCCAGCAGGGGGAGCAAUGGCUCACGGCCCUGUCCUCGCGCUGGGCCACCCCUACUCUUCAUCCAAGCAUGCAGCUUCAGGGUAGAUGCACGAACAGAACAGAAAAGGCAAAGAAGACACACGCACACAACUGGGUAAUGACCCUGGUAAUGACGGUUGAGUCCUGGUUCCCACAUUCAACUGACGAUAGGACUUGGAGUGGCUCAUUGAACCUCACUGAACCUCAGAGCUUCUUGCCUUUUUGUGUAGGUACAGUGACCCCCAUGUCACAAAGACGUUGUGCCAGUCACCAGAAAUGGGGUUGGUGCAAGCACUUCGUAGACCCCGGAAGUGCUAUUUUAUGAAAGGACUAUGUGCGUAUAAGCACAGAGGCUUCUCUUCUCAGAAACGGAGACCAGGGCUGGCCCAGGAGCCCUGGUGGGUUUCCCAGUAUGCUGGAGUUGGUGAGAGAGCCAGGGUCCAAACGCUCUCCUGGUGUUUGGUCCUUAAGUAUUGGGCAGAUCACUGACUUUCUACAUAUCCUCUGUAUGCUUGACAAGUUGAGGUCAGAACAAGGGCCCCAAGCCUGAGCCUCA